AAAAGAACAGAGAAAGAUCCAGUGCAAAAACUCAUAGGAAAUGAUCAAUUCAUGCCAAGUGAUGAGAACUAGAGAAGAGAGAUGAGAGCAUUGUUCAUACACGAUGGUCUAGGUCUCCUACCCCAAGAGAACUUGCAACAAAGCCCAAAGUACAACAGCCACGUUUAAAGAGAAGAUUCCAUUUCAGCCAGACAACAUGAUUCAUC
rnacentral:lncRNA from 1 species